UUCCGGUUGAUCCUGCCGGAGGCCACCGCUAUUGGAAUGCGCUUAAGCCAUGCGAGUCGAGAGUCUUCGGGACUCGGCAUAAUGCUCAGUAACACGUGGACAAUCUGCCCUGGGGAGGGGCAUAACCUCUGGGAAACUGAGAAUAAUACCCCAUAGGUAGGGAAGUGCUGGAAAGCCUCCCAACUGAAACGAGCUUUAUCGCCCCAGGAUGAGUCUGCGGCCUAUCAGGUUGUAGUAGGUGUAACGUACCUACUAGCCUUCGACGGGUACGGGCCUUGAGAGAGGUAGCCCGGAGGUGGAUUCUGAGACAUGAAUCCAGGCCCUACGGGGCGCAGCAGGCGCGAAAACUUCACAAUGCGGGAAACCGCGAUGAGGGGAUUCCGAGUGCGUGCGUUCUGCGUACGCUUUUCUUUAGUCUAAGUAGCUUGAGGAAUAAGGGCUGGGUAAGACCGGUGCCAGCCGCCGCGGUAACACCGGCAGCCCGAGUGGUGGUCGCUUUUAUUGGGCCUAAAGCGUCCGUAGCCUGCUUGGUAAGUCCUUGGGUAAAUCAACCAGCUUAACUGUUUGAAUUCCAGGGGUACUGCCAGGCUUGGGACUGGGGGAGGCUAGAGGUACUCACGGGGUAGGGGUAAAAUCCAGUAAUCCUGUGGGGACCACCGGUGGCGAAGGCGUCUAGCUAGAACGGCUCCGACGGUAAGGGACGAAGCCCAGGGGCACAAACCGGAUUAGAUACCCGGGUAGUCCUGGGUGUAAACGCUGCGGGCUUGGUGUUGGAGGUCCUGCUAGGGCGUUCAGUGCCGUAGAGAAGUUGUUAAGCCCGCCGCCUGGGAGUACGUCGCAAGGCUGAAACUUAAAAGGAAUUGGCGGGGGAGCACUGCAACGGGUGGAGCGGCGGCGUUUAAUUGGAUUCAACGCCGGGAAUCGUCG
rnacentral:rRNA from 1 species